UACAGAGGUCUCAAGCGUUGUUCGGAAUCACUGGGCGUAAAGCGUGCGUAGGCUGUUUCGUAAGUCGUGUGUGAAAGGCGCGGGCUCAACCCGCGGACGGCACAUGAUACUGCGAGACUAGAGUAAUGGAGGGGGAACCGGAAUUCUCGGUGUAGCAGUGAAAUGCGUAGAUAUCGAGAGGAACACUCGUGGCGAAGGCGGGUUCCUGGACAUUAACUGACGCUGAGGCACGAAGGCCAGGGGAGCGAAAGGGAUUAGAUACCCCUGUAGUGACUGACU
rnacentral:rRNA from 1 species